ensembl:lncRNA
CAGUCCAGAAGUUAGCAGAGACAUUUGCUGGACUCAGGAACCAUAGCCUUGCCUUGACGAGAGAGGAAUCUGCACAAUUAUUAGUUUGUGGCAAGGGUUGGCAGAUUAUGACAAAGAGAGAAUUGUGUACUCAGCACACCAUCAGUCCUCUCUCAACAAAGGGAGGUUUAGGGCAACCAAAAAAAUCGUAGCACCAGGAGUAGAGAGUACCAGAAGGUAAGAUCUUUUUCAUCAUAUUUCUCCAUGUCUGACUGUUUCUUGAAUAGUAUGAUUACAAUUGUGCUCAUAAGUUUACAUACCCCUUGCAGAAUGUGCAAAAUAUUAAUAAUUUUAACAAAAUAAGAGGAAUCAUGAAAAUUGCAUGUUAUUUUUUAUGUAGUACUACCCUGAAUAAGCUAUUUCACAUAACUGAUGUGUUUAUAAUCCACAAGACAAAAUAAUAACUGAAUUUAUAAAAAUGACCCCAUUCAAAAUUUCAAAUUCAAAAUCCAUGACUGUUUUUACGUUUUGUCAUAGUUGUUCAUGAGUAUGCAAUAUGUUUUCAUUCUCUCACAUUUUUAGAUGUUUUGUUGGGGCAAACAGACCUGCACAGUGGCCUGACGGCUACAGAAUAGUUGAGGCAGCUUUUGUAAAACUCUGCGCUCUCUAUCCUAACCCUGUACAUCAAGGAGGGGUUAAAAUCUCACAAUUUAACUUCAUUGUACGUGCCUACAAGCAUAUCAGAGAGUGCAUCCUGAGUAAUGCCGAAGUGAUGCAGCAGACCACCCUCCAAUUACCUGAGGUCAAUGCAGCUACACUUACACAAUGGUACAGCAGACGUACAAAAUCUAACGAGAGGGAAAUUUUGACGCAAGGAAUUCAUACACCAGAUGCACCAAUGACAGCACCAGACAGACUUCCACCAGCAAGAACAGAGUCUGCAGCAUGGGAGUAAUGACAGGCCUUUCGUUUUCAAUUUGCCUCCAAACACAGCCAGGAUGGCCAAAACAAGAUCUGGGCCACAUAUACCUGAAAUAAUACUGCCGCUAUCACCACCACCUGCACUGAACUCUUGCUGAACCAGGGCAGUCAUCUAGACCUCCGCCAGUUAUACUUCUGCUUCUGCUGCAUUUCAGCCUAUAAUGUUUAUUGUAUCACACCACAAACUGUGACACUGCCAGCAGCACCACCAACACCACAGCCUUCUGUACUGUACACCAUGAAGUACUGCAGGAAAGGGAGCAGAUGCCUGAAGUCAAGGAAAUAUGUGCAGAAGACUGAAGUAAUCCUGUGCAUGAAGUGUAACAAGGAGAGGAAACCACCAUCUCUAGUGCAUCUCAUCAGGACCAAGAUGGCACCAGUGUUUUGCUGAGACAACUGGAGUUUUUGUCAGAUGUCCAGAGUAAUAGUCGUCUAUUAGCAGUACAUGAUUUUUCUAGCUUUAAGUUGCAGUGAGUUAAAAUAGACUUAUAUUGUCCAGUUGUUUGUUCACUUAUAGAUAGACCACCAAAAUAUAACAAACUGAAUUUUCUGCAAUUGUACAGUUUUGAGAGGAUUUUAAUACUUGGUGAUUUUAACUUGCAUAUCUGGUGACCCAAAGAGCCCAUGGUGAAAGAGUUUCUACAUCUUAUUGAUUCCUUUAAUUUCACACAGUUUGUCUCAGGUUCUAUUCACAAACUUGGUCAUACUUUGGAUUUGAUAUUAUCAUUAUAUUACUGAAAAGACCAUUUUGAAAUUGGCCUUACUGUCUCUUUUUGCAUGUUUUAAUGAUAUUAUAGAAAGGAUGGCAGCAAACUUUCUUCACUUGAAUGAAUCAAAGACCAGAGUGAUAAUGUUUGGCCCUCUGAGUGUCUCUGAACCCAUAAUUAACCAAUUAGGUUCAUUUAAAUCUAAAGUACAUAAUCAUGCAAAGAGUCUUGGAGUCAUUUUUGACGCAGAGUUAAAGUUUGAUUUAGGAAUUAUAAUGAAGGAAUAUAGCAAAAUUGAAACCUUUUCCAUCUUUUAAUGAUUUGGAAGUUGUUAUCCACGCUUUUAUCGUGUCCAGACUGGGAUAUUGUAAUUCCUUGUACAAUGGUGUUGCUCAUGCAACAAUUUCACACCUGCAGCUGGUUCAAAAUGCAGCUGCUAGGCUUCUAACUGGGACUAGGAAGUAUUGGCAUCCCUUCAUUGGCUUCCAGUUAAAUUUAGGAUUCAGUAAAAGUUAUUAUUAUUUGUUUUUAAAGGUUUAAAUGGACUGGCACCAAGUUAUAUUAGUGAACCUCUUCUGCGGCAUACACCAUUCAGGCCCUUUCGAUCUACACAGACUCCAGCUAGGAGGAGACAGGGCCUUUUCUGUCGUAGCUCCAUGUUUAUGGAAUAGUUUACCUCUCCAUGUUUGAUCUUGUGCCACUCUUGAUGUUUUAAAAUUUUAAUUUUAUCUAUUUUUGUGAUGUGUUACUGUGUUCUAUAAUUUUAGACUGUAUGUGUUAUGUCUGAUUUGUAAAGCACUUUGGCCAAAGUCUUCUGUUUUUAAUUGUGCUAUAUAAAUAAAACAGAAUAGAAUCUCA